rnacentral:misc_RNA from 1 species
GUACCCUCAAGCUCAGCUUGGUGUUGGGUGUUUGUCCCGCCGUUGCGCGUGGACUCGCCUUAAAGCAAUUGGCAGCCGGCAUAAGCCUGGGAGCGCAGCACAAUCGCUGUUUCCAGACCGCUUGUCGAGCGUCCAGCAAGCCUUUUAUUCUUGC